GAUGAACGCUGGCGGCGUGCCUAAUACAUGCAAGUCGAGCGAAUGGAUUAAGAGCUUGCUCUUAUGAAGUUAGCGGCGGACGGGUGAGUAACACGUGGGUAACCUGCCCAUAAGACUGGGAUAACUCCGGGAAACCGGGGCUAAUACCGGAUAACAUUUUGAACCGCAUGGUUCGAAAUUGAAAGGCGGCUUCGGCUGUCACUUAUGGAUGGACCCGCGUCGCAUUAGCUAGUUGGUGAGGUAACGGCUCACCAAGGCAACGAUGCGUAGCCGACCUGGGAGGGUGAUCGGCCACACUGGGACUGAGACACGGACCAGACUCCUACGGGAGGCAGCAGUAGGGAAUCUUCCGCAAUGGACGAAAGUCUGACGGAGCAACGCCGCGUGAGUGAUGAAGGCUUUCGGGUCGUAAAACUCUGUUGUUAGGGAAGAACAAGUGCUAGUUGAAUAAGCUGGCACCUUGACGGUACCUAACCAGAAAGCCACGGCUAACUACGUGCCAGCAGCCGCGGUAA
rnacentral:rRNA from 1 species